AGACAUCCAAGUUCCAUUUUUUUUUCUUUUUUUUUCCUUCUUCAAUUUGCAGAAAACUUCUAAGAGAGAGUUUGGAAGAAGAAGAGAAAUUUUACUAGAAUUUUUAGGUUGAAGAAAAGGAGGAGAACUCAAGCAAAGUGUAUCAAUGGCUGAAUUUUAGUUCAUUCUGCACAUCACUGGUUUUUAAUUCGGUUUGAACUCUUCAAAAGGAAUUAAGAGGGCAGUUGGUUUUCACUCGAAAUCAGGAGGUCUCUGGUUUUUCUUGUAUUUCAGAGUGUAUCGGUGGAGUUAGAAUCUCUAUUUGGGACAAGUUAAAGAGGUCGUGUGCGCGUGAUUCUGGAAGUGGUUCUGUUUUGAGGGUUAUAUGUGUUUAUGCACGGGGAAUCAGAUUUAUAUGUCUUCAGGUAGAGAUCGACUUCCCGGUGCCUGAUAGACUACCUUAGUCUGCGGAAGCUUCAUUAUCGAUUGCCAGUACGUGUUUUGAGUUGGGCAUAGAGUCUGUUGUGUUGUGGUGUAUAUACACCCUUGUAUGUUAUAGAUACUCCACAAUUUGUAUAAGCUUUAGGAGCUGUAGUUGUGUAAAUUUUGUUGGUUAUAUUUUGAUUAAGGUGUCUUUAGGUUUACUCGUGAAAUCGGUAAAUUUUGAGGUACACUUCAUGUAUGUGUUUGACUAGCUGUGUUUGACUAGCCUAGGAUCCGCUGUGUUUUGUGGCAUGUACAAUAGUUUAUAUACUAGAUUGGCAAGUUCA